AGUCGAGCGGUAACAGGAAUUAGCUUGCUAAUUUGCUGACGAGCGGCGGACGGGUGAGUAACGCGUAGGAAUCUGCCUGGUAGUGGGGGACAACAUGUGGAAACGCAUGCUAAUACCGCAUACGCCCUACGGGGGAAAGGAGGGGAUCUUCGGACCUUUCGCUAUCAGAUGAGCCUGCGUGAGAUUAGCUAGUUGGUGGGGUAAAGGCUCACCAAGGCGACGAUCUCUAGCUGGUCUGAGAGGAUGAUCAGCCACACUGGGACUGAGACACGGCCCACACUCCUACGGGAGGCAGCAGUGGGGAAUAUUGGACAAUGGGCGCAAGCCUGAUCCAGCCAUGCCGCGUGUGUGAAGAAGG
rnacentral:rRNA from 1 species